GUUCCACACAUUCCCAGGUUUUUGUGGAUAUAAACACUUCCUGAUAUCAGAGUACCUUCAGCUAAGUCAUUCCUGCAGCUCCUUCCUUCAGUUUACAGUGCUCACCCUGAGAUCGCCACAGUAAUUCUAAACUACAUUAAUCUCCUUUAUAAAUGUGAAAUUCCAAUCAGAUCACUCUCUGGUCCUCUCUUUCUGAUCCUGAACGGAUUAACCGUCUCGUUUCUACAAGAUUGAGUUGGAUACACAAUGCAAAAGACACAGAGCUCCUUCUCAGUGAGAAGUUAGUUGUCACACUGUACUUAAUUUUAUAAAAGGGAAUUUGUCUAUUCUGUUUGUUCAUACUGCUAAAGGUUGAUUGAUUGCACUGAAACUACAACUGAGGCAACUUUUCACAUGGCAGUUAGUGAGAAUCCAGAAGCAAACAUCAUUUCAAGCCCAAACUUGAACGAUUACAGGAAAUUACAAUUCAUCAAACCUCAGAGUUCCUCUCAGGAAAUUCCCACUAAAAUACCAGCUGUGUCUUUCCCUUCUACGAAACAACAACUUUGAUUCCAACCAAUCCGCUGCACUGAAACUGCCCUCCUCUCAGUCCCUCUCCGGGCAGCUCCACCCUCACCCUCCUGGGCCUGCCUGCUGUGUUCAGUACUGUCAGUCACUUUGAGACAGUGAGGCUUUCUGACCAAUCACCUUGAGACAGUGAGGCUUUCUGACCAAUCACCUUGAGACAGUGAGGCUUUCUGACCAAUCUCCUUGAGACAGUGAGGCUUUCUGACCAAUCACCUUGAGACAGUGAGGCUUUCUGUCCAAUCACCUUGAGACAGUGAGGCUUUCUGACCAAUCACCUUGAGACAGUGAGGCUUUCUGACCAAUCACCUUGAGACAGUGAGGCCUUCUGACCAAUCACCUUGAGACAGUGAGGCUUUCUGACCAAUCACCUUGAGACAGUGUGGCUUUCUGACCAAUCACCUUGAGACAGUGGUUUGAAAGGGCUAAAAGACUCAUGAACAGACUGAGGGUGAUGAUGUGGUUUCUCAGACAGGUCUGUGUGCUGUAGCUGUAAAUGGCUCAGGUACAGUACAGUGUGAGAGUGGAUCGUAUGGUGACCAGUAGAAUAUCUGUGUUUGAUUAAAUCUUCCAAAAGGAGCAGAAGAGGCCACACACAGGGCCACACACAGGGGGACACACAGGGCCACACACAGGGCCAUGCAGAGGGCCACACACAGGGCCACACACAGGGACACACACAGGGCCAGCGUACAGUGUGCAGUGUGCUAUAUUUAAAGCUCCCUCCGCUGUUAUGGGCACUCACUUAGGACACCAGCUUCUGGAACAAUCCCUGCAUAUCUUCACUAGGCCAACUGAUCAAUCAGAGUUCUGUUACAUCAUUCAGCCACAUACGAAUCGCUUUAAGAUAACGCUUUGUUCUCUGUGUUUGGGUCUAUUUAAUAUCAAGCAUGCGACUAAGGUCACAUGACUCACAGUCAAGAUUAGUGAUUGGCUUGCCAUAUGGACUGACAUAUAGUGCGCUCCAAAAGGAUGGCAACAGUAGAAUUAAAUUUGUUAUUAAGCUUUUCUACAAUGUUCUCCUGCUGUAUGUGUGUGUUAAUGUUCUAUCUCUGUGUGUGGUAAUAUUCUACUUCUGUAUGUGUGUGUGUUAAUGUUCUCCCCCUGUGUGUGUGUUAAUGUUCUCGCUCUAUAUGUCUGUGUUAAUAUUCUCCCUCUGUACGUGUGUGUUAAUGUUCUACUUCUGUAUGUGUGUUAAUGUUCUCCCUCUGUAUGUGUGUGUUAAUGUUCUACCUCUGUAUGUGUGUGUUAAAUUUCUCCCUCUAUAUGUGUAUCCUAAUGUUCUACUUAUUUAUGUGUGUGUUAAUGUGCUACUUCUCUACUGGUCGCCGGAGAGCGACAUAAUCAUUGGCUGCUGUUUCCUCCACGGGUCACCAGAGGGCGACGUCAUCAUAUUUUGUGUUCUUUUGACUUACUGAUUUCACCUGUGUUGAUUUGUGAUUCUUUGCACCUGUGUUCUUCCCUAUAUUAGUUCUCCCUUCGGUUGUGUUCAUUGCUUAGUCUUGAGUUUGCCUGCCUCUGUGUAAGUCUCGAGUAAAAAUCUGGAUUGCCGGAAAUGAAGCCUGCAUCAAAACUUUUCUUUGGAAAAGUCCACUUUGUUUGUCAAGCCUGCUCUUGUUCUCUGCUCUUGAUUCUACGCUCCUAGUCAAGUGGGUUGGUGAUUAGUACACAGGACUCCCAACCAAGAGACCUGGGUUCAAGCUUCUGUCAGGGAACCAUCCGUAACAACUUCUUUAUGUGUGUGUUAAUCUCCCUCUCAGUGUACCACAGUGGGAAAGGAACUGGGCUUGUUACCAAAGGACACUGUCGUUGUACCCUUGUGCAAGCUCUGUAACUGUCUCAGAAGAUCUUCUUCGUCUUCUCCUCUCAGUGCUGCAACCAAUGAGGGAAACAUGGUCAGAGAAGGAACAUAAUACUGCUGGUAUAAGAACACUGAUGCUGCUGGUGUAAGAACAUUAAUACUGCUGGUAUAAGAACAUUAAUGCUGCUGGU